CCUACGGGAGGCAGCAGUGAGGAAUAUUGGUUAAUGGACGAGAGUCUGAACCAGCCAAGUAGCGUGAAGGAUGACUGCCCUAUGGGUUGUAAACUUCUUUUAUAUGGGAAUAAAACGUUCCACGUGUGGGAUUUUGUAUGUACCAUAUGAAUAAGGAUCGGCUAACUCCGUGCCAGCAGCCGCGGUAAUACGGAGGAUCCGAGCGUUAUCCGGAUUUAUUGGGUUUAAAGGGAGCGUAGGUGGAUUGUUAAGUCAGUUGUGAAAGUUUGCGGCUCAACCGUAAAAUUGCAGUUGAAACUGGCAGUCUUGAGUACAGUAGAGGUGGGCGGAAUUCGUGGUGUAGCGGUGAAAUGCUUAGAUAUCACGAAGAACUCCGAUUGCGAAGGCAGUUCACUGGACUGCAACUGACACUGAGGCUCGAAAGUGUGGGUAUCAAACAGGAUUAGAUACCCAGUAGUC
rnacentral:rRNA from 1 species